AUCUAGCCCCGAUAGUAGUGGAAAUCCUUUUUUGCUGGGGUUCAGCAAAAAAGAUUGCAACGGAUAGUGGGACAAGAC
rnacentral:sRNA from 1 species